rnacentral:tRNA from 1 species
AUCUGGAUAGCUUAUAUUUUUAGAGCGUAACACUGAAGAUGUUAAGGAAACUAUUAUGUUUUUGGGUA